rnacentral:rRNA from 1 species
GUGUCAGCCGCCGCGGUAAUACGAAGGGGGCUAGCGUUGCUCGGAAUUACUGGGCGUAAAGCGCACGUAGGCGGCUUCUUAAGUCGGUGGUGAAAUCCUGGAGCUCAACUCCAGAACUGCCUUCGAUACUGGGAAGCUCGAGUUCGGGAGAGGUGAGUGGAACUGCGAGUGUAGAGGUGAAAUUCGUAGAUAUUCGCAAGAACACCAGUGGCGAAGGCGGCUCACUGGCCCGAUACUGACGCUGAGGUGCGAAAGCGUGGGGAGCAAACAGGAUUAGAUACCCGAGUAGUCC